GGGGAUUUGUUUCUUGCUUUCCACCUCGUAGCUCAUGUUAGUCCCCACUGGAGUGUUGUUCUGGGAAACCACGAAGUCUUGAAUGGCAUCGCAACAGGAAGCCAGUGUGGCUCUACAAGGGGUGAGAAUGAAAGUAAGCAGAAGACGAAGACAAGAGACAAACUCGGACUUAACAACAGAUGCAGCAAGAGGAGCUGUGCUGGCGAGUUUCAAAGAGAAGUCAAGCCAGCUCUCCUCCAUUCUUUUGUCACUCCUUGCCAACCUGCAGAAUCGCUCUCUAUGAAGGUCCCAUAGCACCCUACCCUUGGCUGGGACUGAGAACAGAACAUCCAUCCACCAAGGUGAAACCAGAGAGCUACAGCAAGAUACACCAUAUACUUCGAUCCCAGGGCAAAACCACAAAGAUGAACAGCCAAGACAACAUGUCCCCCCACUGACACAUCAGCUAAGUGUAGUAGCUGUGGAUAGAGAGCCAUUCUGCUGGUUGGCAGGGAGUCACAAAGAGAUGGAAGUGGGUGAGGAUGAAUGACUCACAGGGGCUGCAGAAAUAACCAGGGGACCAAGAGGUGUAUUGUAAUAGGCUAGAGAAAAGCAAGUUAGCUGAAGCAAUUACAAGUAUGUUCAAGGACAUUAAAAAGAAUAUGAUAACGCCUUAAGGAAGCUUGAGAAAACACGAUUGAAUGGAAUAAUGAAAACAAUUCAAAAUAUGAAAGAAUUUAAUAAUUGUUUUGUAAUAAUUAUAACAAUACAUAAAACGUAGUUAAGUAGCAUUACAGUCACCUAAGCAAUAAUGUAUAGCCACUUAUUUGAGAACAGUCAAUCAAUAUGAUGAUUUUAGAGUGGAAGGUUACUAUAAUACAGGCCAAUGUCAAAAUUUCAU
rnacentral:lncRNA from 1 species